GGCUAGGCAGCUGUUCCCUUCCUCCCUCAUGGUUCCAUGUGUGUCCCUCUGGAUGCUACAGUGCUCAGUCCAAGGGGGCGACCUUCCCUGAAUAGAGAAGGCUGGGUCUUAGUCCAAGGCUUUCCUGAUAGAACUUCCAAUCUCUCAAGACUUGCUCACAUUUUUAACACCACCACUUAUCUGGUUUCUCA
ensembl:misc_RNA 7SK 7SK RNA